UACGAAGGGGGCUAGCGUUGCUCGGAAUCACUGGGCGUAAAGGGUGCGUAGGCGGGUCUUUAAGUCAGGGGUGAAAUCCUGGAGCUCAACUCCAGAACUGCCUUGAUACUGAGGAUCUUGAGUUCGGGAGAGGUGAGUGGAACUGCGAGUGUAGAGGUGAAAUUCGUAGAUAUUCGCAAGAACACCAGUGGCGAAGGCGGCUCACUGGCCCGAUACUGACGCUGAGGCACGAAAGCGUGGGGAGCGAACAGG
rnacentral:rRNA from 1 species